UAUGUAACACGGAUACGCCAGGGAGGUGUCGUAUCCCGUAUCGGAUACAUAUCCGAUACGGAUACGUGUCGGAUACGUGAUGGAUACGUAUCGGAAGAGUAUCCAAAUUUUUGUUAAUUUCGUGAAUAUUGAGUACGUCGGCCGAUACGUAUCUGCCCAUUCGAUACGGCCCAGCCCAACAAACACACGUGCACUCCCUUCCUCUAUCCCCAACGCCAGGCCCCGACGCCCGCACUCGCGCACUUCGU
rnacentral:lncRNA from 1 species